ACGUAGAAGAAAAUAACCGCCGUCGCCCUUGGGCUACGGUAAGGGUGAGAAGGUGGGGUAAGAGCCUACCAGUCUUGUGGCGACACAAGGGCUGUGCGUCUUGGGAGUUGUAAGGUCAUGUAAACCGACGUUAUGAGAGUUGCUCGCUCCAUGUCGGAGGGUAGACCGCUAAAGCUUGUAUGGUGACAUGCGGCUCAGAUAAAUGACAGACACUUCUUUAAUGGAGAAUGGAUAAUGAAGAAUGGAUAAUUCCUAAUUAGGCUUUUUCAGAAACAGAAGAACAGAACCCGGCUUACAGACUGACUGCUUUU
rnacentral:RNase_P_RNA from 1 species